rnacentral:misc_RNA from 1 species
AACGGUCUAUACCUGCGGUACCUGCGGAAGGAUCAUUAAUGAGAAGCUGCCCCUCGUGGGUAGACCUCCCACCCUCUGUGAACUUACCUUUGUUGCUUUGGCAGGCCCGUCCUCUGGACCGCCGGCUUCGGCCGGCCCGUGCCUGCCAGAGGAUUCCAAACCCUGUCUGUCAGUGUUGUCUGAGUCUAUAUGAAAUCGUUAAAACUUUCAACAACGGAUCUCUAGAUCGGAAGAGCACAC